GAAGAUUUAUAAAUAUUAAACUUCUAAUUUAAUUAAAGCGAUUAAAUUUCGUUGAUCUUGU
rnacentral:tRNA from 1 species